AUAAAGUACACUUCAGCUUCGACAUCAGUAGACCAACACUGGGUGUUUCAAGAAGCAAGGACAUUUAAAUGAAAAAAGAAGAGGAAGAAAGCCCUCUGUUAAUUUGAAGCUGAGCAUCUGAUUCACUAAAAUUGACAAAAUAAAUAGCAUAAUAGUAUACAUGGGUAUUCAUGCCGAAACUUCUGAAUCAGACACCCUGGGGCCAGGGACUAGUCAGCCAGGGUGUCUUCUGGAUCACACACCCUGGGGAAUGUGGACUUUAACGUUUCUUCUGAGUAAUUUUGGCCUCCAUCCUGAGUAAGGAUAGUUCUAGACCUAUAGUUCUCAAACCUAGAUGAGUAAUUAUAAGAAUUACCUA
rnacentral:lncRNA from 1 species